UACGUAGGGGGCAAGCGUUGUCCGGAUUUAUUGGGCGUAAAGAGCGUGUAGGCGGUUAGGUAGGUCCGUUGUGAAAACUCGAGGCUCAACCUCGAGACGCCGAUGGAAACCAUCUAACUAGAGUCCGGAAGAGGAGAGUGGAAUUCAUGGUGUAGCGGUGAAAUGCGCAGAUAUCAGGAAGAACACCCGUGGCUAAGGCGGCUCUCUAGUACGGUACUGACGCUGAGACGCGAAAGCGUGGGGAGCGAACAGG
rnacentral:rRNA from 1 species